GGGUUUUGAUUCCAUUCGGUGAGACGAGAAUCCUCUCUUGAGCUAAGGAUGAGGAUCCUCCUGAUCAUGAAAUCCGGACCGUUCAACGGCUCUAAAUAGAGGGUCCUCUAAAAAGUUAUAAUAAUUGCAAUCGUUGAAUUAAAAUUGAACGGCUCGAAUUUCGUGAUCAGGAGGAUUCAUCCUAUGCUCCGAGAGGAUCCUCUUCCCCAUUCGGUGGAACAGUAAGGAGAGCUUUGGAAUUCCAUUCCGCUGCUCAGGAAUCCCAACUUUUCAUCGUCAAAGUUAAUUUGUGGUGGUUGCUUUGAAUUAUUCAGCAUGUCGUCCUUAAGGAAUGCUGUUAGCCGACGGGCUCACAAGGAACGAGCUCAACCGAGAGUGACCACAUUCCGUUCGCUGGUAGACUUUCGCAUAAUGUUGUUUUGCAUCAGAUGAUGGGAUUAAUGUUUUUGUGUUUUGGGUCCAAAUUUUUUAUAGGGAAUCGAUGAAAAAAUUUGGGCUUCUUGAAAGCGUGCGGAGGAGACUUUACGGAGACUCAAGGAGAAACCCUUCUUCAGAAACCCAGAUGAGUUCAACUUCAAGAUGGCCAAGACACGAACUGUUGAUGGAGUCCAUAAAUUAGAGAGUUGGGCAAACAAGUACACUCCAGAAGAGCUCCUGCUUAUGAAGACCCAAGAUAUUGGAUACAUAUUUCAGAAAGUGCAGAGUGAGAAAAAGGUUAUAAAUACGUAUAUCAUGAAGCUAUGGUUUACCGAUUGGUUUUUGAAAUUAACAUGUUGGUUAUAAUUGUGUAGUUAAUUAAUUUAGAAAACUGAAAAGUUAACUGCAAUGCUGCACUCUCUUGAUAAUCGGCCUUCAAGUAGACAUGUUUACUUUACUGAAGACAGGUUUGAGCUUCCUUCAAAUCUUCUGUCCUCGGAGAAUUUUAAUUCUGUAUUAGUGGAUUUUUUUUUAUUUUUUAACUUUUCGUUGCUGUUAUUUGUAUUCAGACUUCGAUCUGGUGAAAGAUGAUUUUCACCAUUUUUCAGUUCUUUGUUAUCCCUUAUUAUCCCCAGAGGUUGCGUGUUUCCAUUGUUCUAAUUGAUUUUGUUAUGUAUAUUUUCUUAUAUUCAUUGAGUUUGUUUUGUCAUCAGUAGGCACAAGUAUCUGGAGUGAUCUGUUAACCCCUUUUUCCAAGCAAACACACAACACACAACACAAACAUAUAUCUGGUGUACAUGAACCCCAACGUUCAUAUGCACGCAUACACUACACACAUUGAAAAGGAACUGUAACAAAUGGGAAGAUGUAUACAUAAAACUUGUGUGUUUCUCCUGAUCCUGUUUUGGACUUAUAUGAAAUGCUUUUCAUCCUGUUUACUUGAGUAUAUUUACAAAAAAAAUUAUGGCCCCGAAAAAGGGGACAUAGAAAUACCAUGAUACAAGUGACUACAAGUGUGUUAUUACAAAUCUGCAAACUGCUUCCUUUCAGGCCCAUGUACUUAUAGUAAUUCUGAUUCUGUUGAAAGUAGAUCCUCAUGGCUUCGACUGGGGACACUAGGCUAAUUUCUUAGUGUUGUUAAUUGUUUCUUGGGAAGACAUUAUUAUUCAAUUCUUCAAAUGGGGGUAUGAUCUAUAAUGUUAUUAAAUUCAUGUGAGACCACUCCGUGUGAAAGAGUAGGGAAGAAAAGUAGUUUCUUAACUUCUCAUCAUUUAUGUUCCCAUUUGCCAAAUAUUUUAUCUUGUUUUGCACAUUUUUAGAAAUAAGUUUUAUCGUGUUAAUUAUUUUUUUGGCAGGAAGGAAGCUAGAGAAAUUCAAUCACGUCCAAAAAGUGGAAAAAUGCCGGUUUCUGAGGACAUUCCUGAUCAUAUAAAAAGGAAAACAGCUGGUUCCUACAGAGAGCUUGAAGGAAGGAGGAAGAGAGUCAAUGAGUUGGAGAAAAUUUAUAUGGACAUGGCAAUGCAGAAGGAAUUACAGAAAAGGGGUAAAAACCGCAAAGUAUGUGAAGAUGAGAUUGUCUCCCCAACAUCCAACGCUGUAUGCAAGUGGCGGGCAGAGCGGAAGCGUUAAAAGGAAUGAGGCUGCUAUAGAUACCUAGGACCCCGGAAAAAAGUCUGGACCUGACGUACCAUGACUUUCCAUGUAACGGAAGUUUUGAUCUGCAUAUGAACAUGUCACAAGUGAUAUAGUCAGAUAUAUAUUUGCUUGCUUUUAGGGAAGAAGCAACUGCGUUUUUUUUUUGUCUCUGGUAGUCUGACCCUAGCGGGAUUUAUAACAAACUGACAUUCUUGUCGUUUAUUAAUAUCAUCAGUAUUAAGCUC